ensembl:lncRNA
GGACGUUAAACCUGUAAAUCCUGAACCAUGAAAUCAUUGCUCGAUCAUUCAAAUUUUAUUGGUCCAACGCAUCAAACGUCACUCCAACGUCACUUCCGUACGAGACGUUGCAUCCUAUUUAAACUCAGGUUCAGUUAUUGAGUGAAAACACCAACAGACUCAGACAUUUAGGACAAACUAAGAGUCAGAUGAGCAGAAACAGAGAACACGGACAUGUCUGCUGUAACUGCGUCACUCUGCUCCACUUUGCUGAUGUUCGAUGGAGUCUUCAUGUUUGUCUCUGCAGAUUUUCCACCCUGAUGACCACAGAGGCCUUUGAGGCUUCCAGACGUCCUUCACAACAAC